GCCGAAGUGACGGAACGGGAUACGUGCUGGUCUUAGAAAUCAGAUUUUGAGAGUUCGAAUCUCUCCUUCGGUA
rnacentral:tRNA from 1 species